CCUGCCAUUUCAAAAAGCGGAGGAAAAGAAACUAACAAGGAUUCCCCUAGUAACGGCGAGUGAACCGGGAAAAGCUCAAAUUUGAAAUCUGGCUGUCUUCGAUAGUCCGAGUUGUAAUCUAUAGAAGCGUUUUCCGUGCUGAACUGUGUCUAAGUCCCUUGGAACAGGGUAUCAAAGAGGGUGAUAAUCCCGUACUUGACACAACCAUCAGUGCUCUGUGAUACGUUCUCUACGAGUCGAGUUGUUUGGGAAUGCAGCUCAAAAUGGGUGGUAAAUUCCAUCUAAAGCUAAAUAUUGGCGAGAGACCGAUAGCGAACAAGUACCGUGAGGGAAAGAUGAAAAGCACUUUGGAAAGAGAGUUAAACAGUACGUGAAAUUGUUGAAAGGGAAACGAUUGAAGUCAGUCGUGUUCAUUGGAUUCAGCUAGUUCUUCUAGUCUACUUCCUUUGAACGGGUCAACAUCAGUUUUGUCCGGUGGAUAAAGGAUUUAGGAAUGUGACUCCCUCGGGAGUGUUAUAGCCUAGGUUCACAUACACUGGGUGAGACUGAGGACUGCAGCUCGCCUUUUGGCCGGGGUUCGCCCACGUUCGAGCUUAGGAUGUUGACAUAAUGGCUUUAAACGACCCGUCUUGAACCAACGGAACCA
rnacentral:rRNA from 1 species